CCCCUAGAUGUUCUGGGCCGCACGCGCGCUACACUGAACAGUUCAACAAGUCUUAACCUUGGCCGAUAGGUCUGGGUAAUCUUUGAACGCUGUUCGUGAUUGGGAUAGACCUUUGCAAUUAUGGGUCUUCAACGAGGAAUUCCUAGUAAACGCAAGUCAUCAGCUUGCAUUGAUUACGUCCCUGCCCUUUGUACACACCGCCCGUCGCACCUACCGAUUGAAUGGUCCGGUGAAAUCUCGGGACGGCGGCUUGGUCGCUUGCGUCCGACUGCUGAAACUUGAUUAAACCAUAUCAUUUAGAGGAAGGUGAANUCGUAACG
rnacentral:rRNA from 1 species